UUUAACACAAGUUUAAUUUGAAAGAUGCAAUUGCAUCACUCAAAGAUGAUCCCGCGUUGUAUUAGCUAGUUGGUGAGGUAAAGGCUCACCAAGGCGAUGAUACAUAGCCGACCUGAGAGGGUGAUCGGCCACAUUGGGACUGAGACACGGCCCAAACUCCUACGGGAGGCAGCAGUAGGGAAUCUUCGGCAAUGGACGAAAGUCUGACCGAGCAACGCCGCGUGAGUGAAGAAGGUUUUCGGAUCGUAAAACUCUGUUGGUAGAGAAGAACGUUGGUGAGAGUGGAAAGCUCAUCAAGUGACGGUAACUACCCAGAAAGGGACGGCUAACUACGUGCCAGCAGCCGCGGUAAUACGUAGGUCCCGAGCGUUGUCCGGAUUUAUUGGGCGUAAAGCGAGCGCAGGUGGUUUAUUAAGUCUGGUGUAAAAGGCAGUGGCUCAACCAUUGUAUGCAUUGGAAACUGGUAGACUUGAGUGCAGGAGAGGAGAGUGGAAUUCCAUGUGUAGCGGUGAAAUGCGUAGAUAUAUGGAGGAACACCGGUGGCGAAAGCGGCUCUCUGGCCUGUAACUGACACUGAGGCUCGAAAGCGU
rnacentral:rRNA from 1 species